AGGAAAGAGCCAACUUGUAUCGU
rnacentral:snRNA from 1 species